UCGAGCGGCAGCGCGGGAGCUUCCUGGCGGCGAGUGGCGAACGGGUGAGUGUACAUCGGAACGUGCCGCUCGUGGGGGAUAACGCCUCGAAAGCUGUGCUAAUUCCGCAUAAAAUCUACUGAUGACCGCAGGGGAUCGCAAGACCUUGCGCGAAUGGAGCGGCCGAUGGCAGAUUAGGUAGUUGGUGAGGUAAAGGCUCACCGUGCCUUCUAUCUGUAGCUGGUCUGAGAGGACGACCUGCCACGCUGGGACUGAGACACGGCCCAGACUCCUACCGGAGGCUCCUAUGGGGAAUUUUGGACAAUGGGCUUCAGCCUGAUCCAACCAUGCCGCGUGCAGGAUGAACGCCUUCGGGUUGUAAACUGCUAUUGUACGGAACGAAUAGGUUCUUUCAAAUAAUGAGAGCUCAAGACGGUGCCGUAUUAAUAAUCC
rnacentral:rRNA from 1 species